UACGUAGGGGGCAAGCGUUAUCCGGAUUUACUGGGUGUAAAGAGUGCGUAGGUGGCAUGGUAAGUCAGAUGUGAAAACUUGAGGCUCAACUACAAGAUUGCAUGUGAAAAUGCUAAGCUAGAGUGCAGGAGAGGAAAGUGGAAUUACGAGUGUAGCGGUGAAAUGAGUAGAGAUUCGGAGGAACACCAGUAGCGAAGGCGACUUUCUGGACUGUAACUGACACUGAGGCAAGAAAGCGUGGGGAGCGAACAGG
rnacentral:rRNA from 1 species